rnacentral:rRNA from 1 species
CUUGAUUAGUGGCGCACGGGUGAGUAAUGCAUAGAUAAUGUGCCCCUUAGUUCGGGAUAGCCACUGGAAACGGUGAUUAAUACCGGAUACUCCUUCUUGUUAUAAGACAAGUCGGGAAAGUUUUUCGCUAAGGGAUCAGUCUAUGUUCCAUCAGCUUGUUGGUGAGGUAAUAGCUCACCAAGGCUAUGACGGAUAUCUGGUUUGAGAGGAUGAUCAGACACACUGGAACUGAGACACGGUCCAGACUCCUACGGGAGGCAGCAGUGAGGAAUAUUGCACAAUGGAGGAAACUCUGAUGCAGCAACGCAGCGUGGAGGAUGACGCAUUUCGGUGUGUAAACUCCUUUUAUUAGGGAAGAUAAUGACGGUACCUAAUGAAUAAGCACCGGCUAACUCCGUGCCAGCAGCCGCGGUAAUACGGAGGGUGCAAGCGUUACUCGGAAUCACUGGGCGUAAAGGGUGCGUAGGCUGGCUUUUAAGUCAGAUGUGAAAUCCAAUGGCUCAACCAUUGAACUGCAUUUGAAACUGAAAGCCUAGAGUUCAGAAGGGGCAGAUGGAAUUAGUGGUGUAGGGGUAAAAUCCGUAGAUAUCACUAGGAAUAUCAAAAGCGAAGGCGAUCUGCUGGGAUGAUACUGACG